UUUGAUAUUUUCUUGAGUACAAAAUUCAUGGUUCUCUAAAUCCGAUGAAACCAAGGUGUCUCUCUGUUAAUAAUGAAGCUGCUUGUUAUGCUUCUAGUCCUAGGUCUCUCAAUUGGUAUAAGUAUGUCAAACACAAAACCAUUUAUUUGAAAUGCAGAAUCAUUGUUUUGGAGUGAUGGGUUCUUACUUAAUUUGUUUUUCCAUCAGUGUUUGAUUAUUAGUUAAAAACUAUGGAAAUCACUAGACUUUGAGGUGUAGAAGAAGACAUUUUUUCCAUGGCGAUUUCAAAAUCGCAAUGUCUCUGGCGAAAACAAUCAACUCGGAGGAUCAUAGGGACUCCCUUUGGUCGUCCAAUUAUGCUUAGUCUUUAUCUUCUUUCCAUUUCAAUCUUAAAAGCUUUGAUUUGAAAUUAUAGGCCCAAGAAUUAAAAGGGAAGGGCAAUCUUUUUGAAUUUUGACAAGGACUUGAAUAUGCAAUAUUCAGUGAAAGAAGCAACUAUAAUUUUGAAUUUUGCAAUCUUGUGCACCACUGAGACUCGUCAAUUAGUGAGUAUUCUUGAAGGAAGAACCUCAAUGAUGGCCCCUGGAGCCGAUCCACUAUCUUUGACAGAAGUCUAUAUGAUGGGACUAACUAGAACACCGCUGCAACGGUGGGGAGGGCUGAUCGGAAAAAAGAAACCGAAACACUGGUGAUUCACUAUAUAUUUUGUUGUUGUUUGGAAUGUUAGUUUUGAGUCGUCUACGUCGUUUUAGUGAUUGGAUAACCCAUGAACCAAAAUACGAUUGUAUAAACUGUUAUGCAUCUGUUUAUAUGUUGGAAUGAUAAUUUUAGGCAUAUAAUACCUUUA